GGGAAGCUAGGGCACGGCGACAGCAAUAAAUCUUACCGCCCCCGGGCCAUCGAUGGCCUCCUGGGCCUCACCAUCACUAAACUCGCCACCGGCAGCCACGUGUCUCUUGCUCUCACCUCUACCAACGAAGUGUGGUCGUGGGGCAACGGACCGUGUCUGGGGCUGGGCAUCUUAGAAACCCUGGUGCCGCGGCCCAUCGUGCAGCUCAAACCUCACCGCAUCGUGGACAUCGCGGCUGGAGACUCGCAUGUGCUUGCGCUCUCUCACGACUCUCAGGUGUUCGCGUGGGGCGCCAACGCGCAGGGGCAGUGUGGUCAGGG